UACGGAGGGGACUAGCGUUGUUCGGAAUUACUGGGCGUAAAGCGCACGUAGGCGGAUUUGUAAGUCAGGGGUGAAAUCCCGGGGCUCAACCUCGGAACUGCCUUUGAUACUGCAAAUCUCGAGUCCGGAAGAGGUGAGUGGAAUUCCUAGUGUAGAGGUGAAAUUCGUAGAUAUUAGGAAGAACACCAGUGGCGAAGGCGGCUCACUGGUCCGGUACUGACGCUGAGGCGCGAAAGCGUGGGGAGCAAACAGGG
rnacentral:rRNA from 1 species